rnacentral:rRNA from 1 species
UACGUAGGCAGCGAGCGUUGUUCGGAGUUACUGGGCGUAAAGCGUGCGUAGGCGGUGUCUUAAGUUUGUUGUGAAAUCUCCCGGCUUAACCGGGAGGGUGCGGCGAAUACUGAGAUGCUGGAGUGCAGGAGAGGAACGCGGAAUUCCAGGUGUAGCGGUGAAAUGCGUAGAUAUCUGGAGGAACACCGGUGGCGAAGGCGGCGUUCUGGACUGUAACUGACACUGAAAGACGAAAGCCAGGGGAGCAAACGGG